CAUGCAAGGGGAAACCCGCGCCGUUUAGCACCGAACCGUUCCCGUUAGAAACCAUAUCCACAGAGGGCUGCAGCACAUUCAGCACACAUCGCCACGCUGCUGGGCCUCACGAUUCCUUUUCCUCAAAAGCAGCAUUUCAUUUGGUCGCGUUCUGAUGAGGAAACUGCAAAAAGCACACCUGCUUGUACUCCUCAGGGGAGGAAAGACACAGUUAGGUUGCCAAUAAUACAAAAGCUACAGACAAAAUAAAUUCUUGUAUAGAUAGUGUUUUUCCCUAUCAGAAGGACAUUCCUUCUUACAGAGAACUAGAACUUCUAUGUUGCUGUUUAUUUUUUCCCUUUUUUCCUGCAUUUCAUUCUUUUCCUGCAGUGAUCAGUUAAACACAAUUUAUUUACAUAACAAUACCAGCUGAUUUUAAUCAGCAUUGACAAGGCCACAGGAGGACACAGCAGGAAAAAAAAUGGUUUAAAACUCAAGAUUUUUUGCCUUCCUGUGUUUGGUUAACAUCUCACUUCCAUCUGAAAUCCCAUAGUCAUAGCUAACAUAACAAUCUAAAUCUAACUUCAGAGAUAAAAAUGAGAUCAAACGAAUAAAAUGGUGAAAGGAUGAAGAAGGGAGCACACACCGAUAUAAAAGGUUUCAGAUGACAGACUGAAAAACAUCAACUGGCAUGAAAACGGAACAAGAUGUUUGAAUGCAAUGGAAUCGCAGCUUCUGCAAUGCCUGCAACCCAUCCCUCAAAGCUGUCUUCCUAAAUCACUCCAGCAGUUACGGCCGUCUCAGCUGCACACCGAGAGCACAUACUGGAACCUACCCCCCACAUACGUCCUUUUCUUGUACUCCAUCUAGAAUCUCUUUUGUCUCUUUUUUAAAAACUUAAAUAUAUAUGCAUAUAUAUAAGUAAGUUCUUUCACAUUUACCCUUCAGGAACUCAGUAUAGUUGUACAUAAACCCAGUAAUCUCUCUCA